rnacentral:lncRNA from 1 species
AAGGACUAUACCAUCUGAAAGUAAUAUUAAAAGGACAUCAAGACAAAGCAAAUAGGGACCACACUCAAAAAAAAGUAUAUAAAUAAUAAGACCAAUGCAUGCUGACAAAUAGGGAAGUUAGAAUAUAUAUGGGGACAAAGGAAACUGAUGGCCUGAAGACAUUUCCAAUAGGUAUAAAACAAAUCCUCUUACCCCCAAC